CUUCCACCUACUGCCGAGAAGACAAUAAAGAGACCAUGUCCUGCUUUCUAUUAGACUUAGUCCUCUGGGAAUAACUGUUAGCAAGAAUAUGCUCUGCUCACCAUUAUGAUUUGCUGCUGGGAAGAAGAGGAAAGAAGAGAGAAGAUGAAAUAUAUUACUCUGCAUUGCCACUUAUUGUCUCCUAGAGCAGAAGGAUCAGAAGAAACCUGCAAAGAAGUAGAGUUGAAAAGGCUUUUGACAACUUUAGGAUAAAGGUCAUUCCCUCUUCCUCAAGGAACAUGAUGCUUUAGAUGAAGCCCUGUGAAGUGUAAAGCCAGAAGCUUGAAGAGAUGUAUACUACAUUUGUUGUUUCAGGCUCUGAUGACCUGACUCCUCAGAAAUACCAUGCCUAGAAAUUAAGCUCCCACAGCCAUCAUCUGGGGAAGCAACCUCUAUGAAGAAAGGGCCAACCAUCCCCCCAACUGCUUAGUAACUUUCACCUACAGGGUCAGCAAGUCAGACCAGCUGAAGUAGCAAGGCAUUCUGAGGGAAAGACGGGAAGGCAGCA